CGCCGCCUCAGCGUGGCUUGAUGAGCAGUGCCAUGUCCGCACCCAGGAUCCGAACCAACGAAACACUGGGCCGCCUGCAGCGGAGCGCGUGAACUUAACCACUUGGCCACGGGGCCAGCCCCAAGGUGGUUUUAUUUUUGUUUAUUUAUUUUUUUUAAGAUUGGCACCUGGGCUAACAACUGUUGCCAAUCGUCCUUGUUUUUUUUUAAGGAUUGGCACCUGGGCUAACAAAUGUUGCCAAUCUUUAUAUCUUAGUUGCAGGUCCUCCUACUUGUGGGAUGUGGGAUACCGCCUCAACGUGGCCUGACAAGCGGUGCCAUGUCCGUGCCCAGGAUCCGAACCCUGGGCCGCCGCAGCAGGGCGUGCGAACUUAACCACUCAGCCUCGGAGCCGGCCCCUGGAGGUGGUUUUAAUUGUGUGUGAUGACGAACUGUGGCAUCUACCCUUACAACAGAGGAAAAAGUAAUCAGGAAGGAGCGGGUGCUUAAAGGAGUCAACUUAGUCCCCUGGGCUUCAAACAAGGGACCAGAGACCAAGUUGAAGACUCUAGGACCCAUGAAACAGCUUCAAGCAGCAGGAUC
rnacentral:lncRNA from 1 species